rnacentral:misc_RNA from 1 species
GAUGAAGAACGUAGCGAAAUGCGAUAAGUAAUGCGAAUUGCAGAAUUCCGUGAGUCAUCGAAUCUUUGAACGCACAUUGCGCCCUUUGGCAUUCCGAAGGGCAUGCCUGUUCGAGCGUCAUUUAUCAACCCUCAAGCCCGGCUUGCGGUUGGGUCCCGCCGUGGGCGACCACGGCGGACCCGAAAGGUAAUGGCGGUGCCCGUGGGGCCCUGGACGCAGCGAGCUUCUCGGCACGCGUCCCGGCGGUCCCCGGCGCCGUCUCCACCAAUCCACCACGCAGAUUGACCUCGGAUCAGGUAGGGAUACCCGCUGAACUUAAGCAUAUCAUAAGCGGAGGA